CAGUCGCCGCGGGAAUACGAAGGGGGCUAGCGUUGUUCGGAAUUACUGGGCGUAAAGCGCACGUAGGCGGAUAUUUAAGUCAGGGGUGAAAGCCCAGAGCUCAACUCUGGAACUGCCUUUGAUACUGGGUAUCUUGAGUAUGGAAGAGGUGAGUGGAAUUCCGAGUGUAGAGGUGAAAUUCGUAGAUAUUCGGAGGAACACCAGUGGCGAAGGCGGCUCACUGGUCCAUUACUGACGCUGAGGUGCGAAAGCGUGGGGAGCAAACAGGAUUAGAUACCCCAGUAGUCCCUGUCUCUUAUAC
rnacentral:rRNA from 1 species